rnacentral:rRNA from 1 species
UGGCUCAGGAUUAAUGCUGACGGUGUGCAUAAUACAUGCAAGUCGAACGUGCAAUGUGAAAGUAGCAAUACUUUUGCAAAGCAAGUGGCGAACGGGUGAGUAACAAGUGGACAAUCUGCCCUUAAGAUCGGGAUAAUUAUUCGAAAGGAUAGCUAAUACCGAAUGUUUUAUAUCUUUCGAUGAUUGAUAUAACAAAGGAAGCCGCAAGGCCUCCGCUUUUGGAUGAGUCCGCUGCCUAUUAGCUAGUUGGUAAGGUAAUGGCUUACCAAGGCUAUGAUGGGUAGCCGGCCCGAGAGGGUGUCCGGCCACACUGGGACUGAGAUACGGCCCAGACUCCUACGGGAGGCAGCAGUAGGGAAUAUUGCGCAAUGGGCGAAAGCCUGACGCAGCGACACCGUGUGUAGGAUGAAGGUCUUAGGAUUGUAAACUACUGUCAGUUGAAGAAGAAGGUAUGAGAGUUAAGAGCUCGAUUAUUGACGGUAUUCAACGAGGAAGUCUCGGCUAACUCCGUGCCAGCAGCCGCGGUAAUUCA